AAAAAAGCAAAUUUGAUUAAUGCUACUUCUAUUAGUUUGGAAACAUUGGAAAAGUCUAAAAACGAAACUCUUUAUUUUGAAAAACAAAGGGCAAUUAAUCAGGUCCGAUGGCAGGUUUUCCAACAGGCCGUACAAGGAGCUCUAGGAACUCUGAAUAUUUGUUUGAAUUCUGAAUUACAUUUCCGUGUGAUUCGUGCUAAUAUUGGCAUUCUUGGGUCCCUGGAAUGGAAGAGAUAA
rnacentral:rRNA from 1 species